rnacentral:rRNA from 1 species
AAAUAAAAUAUUAUUAAAAUUUUAAUUUUAUUGUUAUAUAAAAUAAAUAUAUUUUGGUUUUAUUAAAUUUAUUGAAAUAAUCUUAUUUAUUAUAGUGAAUAGUAUUGUAGAAGAAAUAUUUAAUUUUUUAAUAAGAAAAUUUAAUUUAUUGUACCUUGUGUAUCAGGGUUUAUUAAAUAAAAAUUAAAAAUUUAAUAUUCUCGAAUUUAAAAGGGCUAAAAAGUUAAGUUUAUUAAUGUAGAAUAAUUAAAUAAAAUUAUUUUUUAGUAAUGAAAUGUUAUUCGUUUUUAAAUAUAUCUAGUUUUUAAAGAAAUAAAUUUAAUUUAAAAUAUUAUUAAUAUAAUUUUAUUUAUUUAAUUUUAUAUUAUUAAUAGUAAAUAUUUUUAGGGAUGAGCUUAAGAAUAUAUAAUUAUUAGAAUUUUAUAAUUAAAAUAAUUUAGGAUUAGAAAUUUUCAUAAUUUAAAGUAUGUUAUAAUUUAAUUUAAAAUUAAAGAUUUAUAUAUUCUAUAAUUUUUUUAUUUAAAUAUAGUUUUAAAUUUAAUAAAACUAGAAAUAAUGAUAGAAUUAGUAUAAUUAAAUUUAAGAAUAAAGUAAAUUUUUAGGUUAUAAAAAGGAACUCGGCAAAAAUUUUUUCACCUGUUUAAUAAAAACAUGGCCUAUUGAAAGUUAAUUUUAGGUCUUACCUGCCCACUGAGUAUUUAAAUGGCCGCAGUAUUUUGACUGUGCUAAGGUAGCAUAAUCAUUAGUUUUUUAAUUGAAAGCUAGCAUGAAGGGUUUGAUGAAAAAAAAACUGUCUUUUUAUAAUUAAAUUAAAAUUUUAUUAUUAAGUUAAAAAGCUUAAAUUUUUUUAAAAGACGAGAAGACCCUAUAGAGUUUAAUUUUUUUAUUUUAUAUAAUAUUUAGAAUUUAAAAUUAUAUAUUUUAUAAAAAUUUAAUUGGGGUGAUUUAAAAAUUUAAUAAACUUUUUUUAUUUUUAUUUAUAAAUUUAUAUAUUUUUGAUCCAUAGAAAAUGAUUAUAAGAUUAAAUUACCUUAGGGAUAACAGCGUAAUUUUAUUGGAGAGUUCAAAUCGAUAAUAAAGAUUGCGACCUCGAUGUUGGAUUAAAAUUAAAUUUUGGUGUAGCAGCUAAAAAUUAAAGUCUGUUCGACUUUUAAAAUUUUACAUGAUCUGAGUUUAAACCGGUGUAAGCCAGGUUGGUUUCUAUCUUUAAAUAGUUAAUAUAUUUUAGUACGAAAGGAUUAAAUAUAUAUAA